rnacentral:tRNA from 1 species
GUGCGGGUAACAUAAUUGCAGUGGCUGCAAGCUGGCCUCCAAAACCAGUCGUAAGGGGUUCGAUUCCUCACCUUCACGCCA